GGCCGCCUGGCGAAAUGGUAUCGCGUCUGACUACGAUUCGUAUUAAUCAGGAGAUUGCAGGUUCGAGCCCUGCGGUGGUCA
rfam:Rhizoctonia solani AG-1 IB, isolate 7/3/14, WGS project CAOJ01000000 data, contig: 03557